rnacentral:misc_RNA from 1 species
GUUCGAGCGUCAUUAUAACCACUCAAGUUUCGACUUGGUAUUGGGGUUCGCGGUUUCGCGGCCCUUAAAAUCAGUGGCGGUGCCGUCUGGCUCUAAGCGUAGUAAUUCUCUCGCUACAGGGUCCGGGUGGUUGCUUGCCAGAAUCCCCCCACUUUUUAUAGGUUGACCUCGGAUCAGGUAGGGAUACCCGCUGAACUUAA